UGGGGGAUAUUGCACAAUGGGCGCAAGCCUGAUGCAGCGACGCCGCGUGUGGGAAGACGGUCCUAUGGAUUGUAAACCACUGUCUUUGGGGACGAAUAAUGACGGUACCCAAGGAGGAAGCUCCGGCUAACUACGUGCCAGCAGCCGCGGUAAUACGUAGGGAGCGAGCGUUGUCCGGAAUUACUGGGUGUAAAGGGAGCGUAGGCGGGAACGCAAGUCAAGUGUAAAAUCUACCGGCUCAACCGGUAGUCGCGCUUGAAACUGUGUUUCUUGAGUGAAGUAGAGGCAGGCGGAAUUCCUAGUGUAGCGGUGAAAUGCGUAGAUAUUAGGAGGAACACCAGUGGCGAAGGCGGCCUGCUGGGCUUUUACUGACGCUGAGGCUCGAAAGUGUGGGGAGCAAACA
rnacentral:rRNA from 1 species